GAUGAACGCUAGCUACAGGCUUAACACAUGCAAGUCGAGGGGAAACGGCAUUAAGUGCUUGCACUUUUUGGACGUCGACCGGCGCACGGGUGAGUAACGCGUAUCCAACCUUCCCAUGACUAAGGGAUAACCUGCCGAAAGGCAGACUAAUACCUUAUGGUNUUCACUGACGGCAUCAGAUGUGAAGUAAAGAUUUAUCGGUUAUGGAUGGGGAUGCGUCUGAUUAGCUUGUUGGCGGGGUAACGGCCCACCAAGGCAACGAUCAGUAGGGGUUCUGAGAGGAAGGUCCCCCACAUUGGAACUGAGACACGGUCCAAACUCCUACGGGAGGCAGCAGUGAGGAAUAUUGGUCAAUGGGCGAGAGCCUGAACCAGCCAAGUAGCGUGCAGGAUGACGGCCCUAUGGGUUGUAAACUGCUUUUGUAUGGGGAUAAAGUCAGUCACGUGUGAUUGUUUGCAGGUACCAUACGAAUAAGGACCGGCUAAUUCCGUGCCAGCAGCCGCGGUAAUACGGAAGGUCCGGGCGUUAUCCGGAUUUAUUGGGUUUAAAGGGAGCGUAGGCUGGAGAUUAAGUGUGUUGUGAAAUGUAGACGCUCAACGUCUGACUUGCAGCGCAUACUGGUUUCCUUGAGUACGCACAACGUUGGCGGAAUUCGUCGUGUAGCGGUGAAAUGCUUAGAUAUGACGAAGAACUCCGAUUGCGAAGGCAGCUGACGGGAGCGCAACUGACGCUGAAGCUCGAAGGUGCGGGUAUCGAACAGG
rnacentral:rRNA from 1 species